CAGUCGCCGCGGGAAUACGAAGGGUGCAAGCGUUACUCGGAAUUACUGGGCGUAAAGCGCGCGUAGGCGGUUACUCAAGUCAGAGGUGAAAGCCCGGGGCUCAACCCCGGAACUGCCUUUGAAACUAGGUGACUAGAAUCUUGGAGAGGUCAGUGGAAUUCCGAGUGUAGAGGUGAAAUUCGUAGAUAUUCGGAAGAACACCAGUGGCGAAGGCGACUGACUGGACAAGUAUUGACGCUGAGGUGCGAAAGCGUGGGGAGCAAACAGGAUUAGAGACCCGUGUAGUCCCUGUCUCUUAUAA
rnacentral:rRNA from 1 species